rnacentral:lncRNA from 1 species
GGCACUUGGCCAAAAUCAACUUCCCAGCGGCAAGCUUUCUCUAAAGAACCUGGAGCAAUUUCUUUCUUUUUUUUUUUUUUUUUAAAUCAGGAAUCAUGUCUGAAAGCUGCCACAACCAGUUGUAUAGGCAUGUCAAAAUGACUUUAUACAGUCAAUAUGAAACAAGCAUUAAAUAUUUUUUCUCAUGUUGUUGCUUUUAUCAUUAUGAAUUCCUUGCUUGUUGCCACCUAAGAUACGAUGGAGCAAGCACAGUCUUAAAGAAGAUUUGCUGAUUUUUUGUUUUUCUCAGCAGACCAGAGUAGGACAUCCAUAAAAAUUCAUCAGAGAGCAUUUUACUACUGAGCUGCAAAGGUAGGAAAAAUAAAUUUUUUUUGGUUAGAAAAUAUACUUCUUUCAUCUGCGUUUCAAUAAUUUAUUCCCCUUGUUAGAUAUACAUGGAAUUGAUAUUGCUUAUUCUGACUAAGUGAAAAGUGUUAUUUCUACUUACUGCUCAAUUAGAAACAUGUAGUGUUUAAUUGUCAGUUUGAAUUUUUCUUUCAUACUAUUACAGUUUAUAUUUUACUAUAGGCAGAAUUUCCUCUUUAUCCUAAAUUUUGAUAUUCUCCAUAAUUUCAUCGUGCCUUGACAUUGCUGUAUAUAAUUUCUAUACAUCAGGAAGGCAAUUCUGUGUGCAUGUGUGUGUGUAUAUAUAUAGUUAGAAGUUAGAAACUGAAACUCUUUUUUGUCUACCAUCAUUUCAUAUUUUUCUUGCUAUUUCAAACCUAUAAUUUUUAAAGAAACGACUAACGUAAUCAUUCAUAGAAUAUGCUGUCAGUAACUUAACAAUAUAAAUGUUAACAUGGAGGCAUUUAGUUCAGCAUUUGCUUUACUUAAUAGAGUGCAGAAAAUGUGGCCCUUUUCUCAGUUAGGGUGUAUGUGAAGAUAAAUUUAGAAUUUCUAGACUAGUAAAUACUUCUCUGAUAAUAACUUAAUUAUAGCUAUUUCAAACCAAAUUGUUUAAUUGUGGUGAAUCAUAUGUAAAUUGUUCAGAUGUAGGUCAACACCCACGCCCACAUUCUAGCACCUCUUUCCUAAUUCAAGACAACUUUGCAGUGCCUAAAAGAGCUGAACAGUGCAGAUUAGAGACAUAAGACAAAAAAAAAAAAAAAA